AUUGAACGCUGGCGGCAGGCUUAACACAUGCAAGUCGAACGAUGACUCUCUAGCUUGCUAGAGAUGAUUAGUGGCGGACGGGUGAGUAACAUUUAGGAAUCUACCUAGUAGUGGGGGAUAGCUCGGGGAAACUCGAAUUAAUACCGCAUACGAUCUACGGGUGAAAGGGGGCGCAAGCUCUUGCUAUUAGAUGAGCCUAAAUCAGAUUAGCUAGUUGGUGGGGUAAAGGCCCACCAAGGCGACGAUCUGUAACUGGUCUGAGAGGAUGAUCAGUCACACCGGAACUGAGACACGGUCCGGACUCCUACGGGAGGCAGCAGUGGGGAAUAUUGGACAAUGGGGGCAACCCUGAUCCAGCCAUGCCGCGUGUGUGAAGAAGGCCUUUUGGUUGUAAAGCACUUUAAGCAGGGAGGAGAGGCUAAUGGUUAAUACCCAUUAGAUUAGACGUUACCUGCAGAAUAAGCACCGGCUAACUCUGUGCCAGCAGCCGCGGUAAUACAGAGGGUGCGAGCGUUAAUCGGAAUUACUGGGCGUAAAGCGAGUGUAGGUGGCUCAUUAAGUCACAUGUGAAAUCCCCGGGCUUAACCUGGGAACUGCAUGUGAUACUGGUGGUGCUAGAAUAUGUGAGAGGGAAGUAGAAUUCCAGGUGUAGCGGUGAAAUGCGUAGAGAUCUGGAGGAAUACCGAUGGCGAAGGCAGCUUCCUGGCAUAUAUUGACACUGAGAUUCAAAGCGUGGGUAGCAAACAGG
rnacentral:rRNA from 1 species